CCCGCCUCCAAUGCGCAGUUUGCUGUUUGCGUCUUCCUCAGGAAUUCCUCCAAAAAUCUUUAAACCUAUUGAUUCGAUUGCUGGGUUCAUGCUGAGACAUGAGGCCAUCAACUUCAGAACCAGAACCGAGUCAUUACUGGUACCUGCACACAGAUCAGCGGCGGCCUGCAUCUUCCUCCACGACCCGACCCAGCACCCACCCGAACCUCCACCAGAACCAGGCGGCU